GAAAGCGAUGCAGCUGAUACUGCCGACACUGCCAGGCAACCGCUACAAUAAUAGUUCGUGCUUCAAAGGUCUGGAAAUCGCAAGCUUUCAGAAGCAGCCACUAAGGUUAAGCCAGGGUUCAAACAACAGCCAGGUCAAAAAAGGCAGUGCCACGCAGGCCAGGGGUUAGCAGGAGGAGCUGGGGGUCAGUGUUGGUACACAGCCAUGCCUGGCUCUGAAUCCAACCACCGGGAGACCAGAGGAGGCUGUAGACCAGGCUGCCAUCCAUCCCCAGAGACAGAAGCUGAAGAAGGAAAGAGGGGGGGAAAACGAAUAAUGAGAAGGGGAGUAUGUAUAAUUCCAUUAAAGCAGUGUAAAGUGUCUACCCUCCAUAUCCCAAAGGAGAUAUAGAACUCUACUGCUAUCUGAAGUGUGCAGAAGGGAUGCCACUAAGCCAACCAAGCCAACUGACCGUCUCUGCUCAUCAUGGACUGAGUGUCAAUGAGUACCAGGCCGUCUACAACACAGUGGUGGAGCCCUUCGCUAGUACUGCUAGUGCAUUGUCAUCAUAUAGUCACGCCCAAGGCAUACGGUAGACUUAAAGGAGAGACUGCUGGACAGACCAAAGCUUGAGGAGGUGGUCCACGAAGACGGUUGUGUGGAGGUUAUAGAAACGUUUUAUCCCAAGGUUAGGCCUCAAGUCUGAGGCGCCAGAGGGCUCAUGAGAUGCCCAAACCUAAAGUGAUUGUGUGUGUGGCUCUACUACCAACCCAUAGCCACAAUAUGUGUGCUGAACAAAAACUCUGUAUUUUCUCAUUUUAAAAUAUUCAAUUGAAUAAUUUAUUUCAACAUACCCCCAUCUGAUGUCUUGGCUUUGUAAUCAUCACAAUGCAUCAGGUCAUGUAGUAACACAGACAAACACUGGCUAGCGUUGAUGAGCCGCAAAACUUGUUCCUACAAUUAGCAAUUGAUUUCCUAUGCGCAUGAUGAUUCAUACAGAUUGGCUUAUAUUACUUUAUGACAUAAAGUAACCUCUGUGGAAUUGUACAUGUGGUGUUUCCAUCUAUUAACUAUAUGAAAGCACUAUACAGAAAAAAAGCACACUGCUCAUUAUACAGCAGGCAAAUUGGUCUCAGUUUCUAUGAGUUGAGUGAAACGGCAGAUCCAAAUGUUUAUCAUUUCUAAGAUAUUUGCAUGGUUCAGUUUCACACUGAAUGGAAAAAGAUGAGGAUGAGUCCUCGGUGCGUCACAAGAAAAGAUUAAGCAAACCUUUUCAUGGUCUUUUAACUGUGUUGACUCUGCGAGGUGAGCGCCUGGAGGAAGUGGAGAGGGAGGUCGUGAGGCAACAAAACCACAACAUCUCAACAAAAACAUGUUUUUUCAUCAUUUUUACUAAAUUGGAUGACAGCUUUAAAUAAAACAUUCCAUAUGAUAUCAAACUUCAUAUCAUUAAACUUAUAAAUAUAUUAGCCUGGUCUCAGAUCUGUUUGUGCUAUCAUGUCAACUCCUCAUCAUAUUUUUCAUAACAAGGAGUGGCAAGGAGUAGCAUGAUGUCACAAAUAGACUGGUGCCCAGGCAAGAAAAAUAUCAAUGGGAUUAAAACAUCUUUACCUUGGUAACUGUCAUAAAUAAACAUUUCAUACUGGAGCACAGGAAUAUUGAACUAUUUACUGUGUAUAUAAAGACACCUGAAAGAUUGCCUAUUCUGCCUGUGUCUUGGUGUCUGCUAGUGCUUUAUUAUCUCCAUUCCUGCAGCAGGGGAGCAGCUGCCUGAUGCGGGCCAGGUAGAACAGGGGUCCAAUGAACAGGCCGAAGUUGGGGAAGGCCAGGAGAAGCUGAAGGAUGCGGCAGUGUAUGCGGUUAGCCUCCUGGUCCGCCUCCUCCAGGUGCCACAUGGACAUGAAGGGCACCAGGGCCACCAGAGGAGUGUAGGCCACCACGGAGGGUACCAACACGGCCAAGAUGUUCUUCAGAGCUCUCCUCUUCAGGUUCAUGCUGCCCCCAGACCCUGACCCGGAGCCCUCCCCAGGCCCGCUCUGGCACAGCACCCACACAAUGCCCACCAGACACAUCAGCAUGAUCAGGAACAGGACUGAAGUGGUGAGGGGCAAAUACAGAGCCAUGGAGAACACCCCCUGGAAGUAGGCCAGCAGCAUCACCACCAGGUUGAGGAGCCAGACCAGGGCACAAACCCCGGCGCGGUACUCCCACUUCCCCAGCCGUAUGUAGGCCAUGGGGUGGGCUGCCGCCAGGUAGCGCUCCACACACAUGUAGGCCAGCAGGAGAGGACAUCCGAAGAUGUUGAGGGCGGAGAGGGCUUCGGCCGCCGUGAGCAUCUUUUGGGACGCGUCGUGGUGCAUGGCAGUGUAGAUGUCCAUGGGCAGGCAGAGGCAGUAGAGGAUGUCCAGGAUGGACAGGUUGAGGCCCAGGACCUUGGAGGCUGACAGGGCCUUCUUGCUGCACAUCAACAGCCACAGCAGGCCCACCUUGGCUGGGAGACCUGUCAGCAGGGUGAAGAUCUUGAUGCUCAACCACACAAUAGAAUCGGCAAGUAUGUGGCACUGUUGCAUCACCUCGUCUAUGCUGCUAUCUAUGCCGUAGAAUGACCAGAAAAAUUCAACAAAUGAUGACGUGGCAAAACUAUUGGUGCUAUUGGAGUUAUGGUCCCCGCAAAAAUAAGUGUUGCUUAUGUUGCAGGGUGGUGGCGUAGGGCUACCCCCAUAGGAGGAAGUGCUAUUGAUGCCCAUGGUGUCUCUUCUGAGGAAACGUAUCAGAAGACU